rnacentral:rRNA from 1 species
UGGGGAAUAUUGCGCAAUGGGCGAAAGCCUGACGCAGCUACGCCGCGUGGGUGAUGAAGGCCUUCGGGUUGUAAAGCCCUGUCGGGAGGGACGAAGUUCUGACGGUACCUCCCAAGAAAGCACCGGCUAACUCCGUGCCAGCAGCCGCGGUAAUACGGAGGGUGCGAGCGUUGCUCGGAAUCAUUGGGCGUAAAGCGUACGCAGGCGGUCUGUUAAGUCGGGUGUGAAAGCCCGGGGCUCAACCCCGGAAAUGCGCCCGAAACUGGCAGGCUUGAGUGCGGGAGAGGGAAGCGGAAUUCCUGGUGUAGAGGUGAAAUUCGUAGAUAUCAGGAGGAACACCGGUGGCGAAAGCGGCUUCCUGGCCCGACACUGACGCUCAUGUACGAAAGCGUGGGGAGCAAACAGGAUUAGAUACCCCCGUAGUCCCUGAGCGGGCUGGCAAGGCGCAU